rnacentral:rRNA from 1 species
AUUGAACGCUGGCGGCAUGCCUUACACAUGCAAGUCGAACGGUAACAGGUCUUCGGAUGCUGGCGAGUGGCGAACGGGUGAGUAAUAUAUCGGAACGUGCCCAGUCGUGGGGGAUAACGCAGCGAAAGCUGUGCUAAUACCGCAUACGAUCUAUGGAUGAAAGCGGGGGAUCGCAAGACCUCGCGCGAUUGGAGCGGCCGAUAUCAGAUUAGGUAGUUGGUGGGGUAAAGGCCUACCAAGCCAACGAUCUGUAGCUGGUCUGAGAGGACGACCAGCCACACUGGAACUGAGACAAGGUCCAGACUCCUACGGGAGGCAGCAGUGUGGAAUUUUGGACAAUGGGCGCAAGCCUGAUCCAGCAAUGCCGCGUGCAGGAUGAAGGCCUUCGGGUUGUAAACUGCUUUUGUACGGAACGAAAAGGCUCUGGUUAAUACCUGGGGCUCAUGACGGUACCGUAAGAAUAAGCACCGGCUAACUACGUGCCAGCCGCCGCGGUAA